UACGUAGGGGGCAAGCGUUGUCCGGAAUCAUUGGGCGUAAAGAGCGUGUAGGCGGUCGGGUAAGUCUGACGUGAAAUCUCCGGGCCUAACCCGGAAACUGCGUCGGAUACUAUCCGGCUAGAGGAUUGGAUGGGAGACUGGAAUACUUGGUGUAGCAGUGAAAUGCGUAGAUAUCAAGUGGAACACCAGUGGCGAAGGCGAGUCUCUGGACAAUUCCUGACGCUGAGGCACGAAAGCCAGGGGAGCAAACGGG
rnacentral:rRNA from 1 species